AGGACUUUUCCCAGUAUCCUGACUGACAAUAAUCGAGCAAUCAACAUCUGUUUAUUUACUUCAUUGCAUUUUGUGGGAUCUUACUGUGCACAAUGGACUGCUACAUCUCCCACUGUACAACAGCACAAGUGAAAACACUUGAGGUAAACCAGUGAGUCCUUUGCUCCAAAUACAUAAUCCAUGGAUGAAGCAUUUUCACAACCAGUAACAUAUGAUACAUUCUCAGCACACUUUCUUCAUCUACCGAUGUUCUCAGCCCUACAAUCUCCUUUAAUAUCCAA